UACGGGGGGAGCAAGCGUUAUUCGGAUUCACUGGGCGUAAAGGGUGCGCAGGCGGUUGGGUGUGUCAGAUGUGAAAUCCCGAGGCUUAACCUCGGAACUGCGUCUGAAACUACUCGACUAGAGUAUUGGAGAGGGUAACGGAAUUCACGGUGUAGCAGUGAAAUGCGUAGAUAUCGUGAGGAACACCAGAGGCGAAGGCGGUUACCUGGACAAUUACUGACGCUCAGGCACGAAAGCAUGGGGAGCAAAAGGG
rnacentral:rRNA from 1 species